rnacentral:rRNA from 1 species
CAGUCGCCACGGGAAAACCAGCACCUCGAGUGGUCAGGAGGUUUAUUGGGCCUAAAGCAUCCGUAGCCAGUUGCAUAAGUUUUCGGUUAAAUCUAUGCGCUUAACGUAUAGGCCGCCGAAAAUACUGUGCAGCUAGGGAGUGGGAGAGGUACACGGUACUCGAUAGGAAGGGGUAAAAUCCUUUGAUCUAUUGAUGACCACCUGUGGCGAAGGCGGUGUACCAGAACACGUUCGACGGUGAGGGAUGAAAGCUGGGGGAGCAAACCGGAUUAGAUACCCCUGUAGUCCCUGUCUCUUAUAC